UAAGAAGAGUGACGCCAAUGUCAAAAUUGGAACAGCGUUGAGCUGUCAGCGUCAUUCCAAACGAACAAAUGAUCUGUCAAAUUCAGCCUGAGAAGAAAAAUAAAUUGCGAGUAUUGUGCUCAUUGUGAUUUUAAAAUAGCAAAAUGUUUGUAACUGUUUGUAUCCCUUUGCUCGACUACACGCGAACUAGCGCUUGCCCGAGCAGCUGCGGAAAACUUCUCCAGAAGGGAUGAAAGGUAGUUUUGCAAACUACUGCCGAAAAGAGUUUGUCCUGCUGCUAGUCUAUUUUGCUCGGAAGCCAGCGAAUAAACUACUGCUACUGGGAUAUGCUGGUGUCUGGUUCCGCUAUCCGGGAGUGAUUUUAUCUGAUGCUGGUUCCUUUCGAAGUAAAAUCAAUAUCGAAUUGUGAAGACAACUAUGGAAUAGUCGGAACAGUAUCCCAGUGCGUGUGAGGCUGCUAAAUCUAAGCAACAAUAAUGAAAUCUGGAAUACCUACAAAAUAGAGAUGGACGAGACCGGGCACCGGAAAGCAAAAGCUUCAGGAAGUGUUUCGGCGUAGUGAUGUUGCUGCUGCACCUGGAACUGGGAAUCUACAUACUGAGUCAGGAAAAAUACUUCAUUGUGGAUUAUUCAAACACCAAUCUCCAACAUCGUUUUCGCAUAAAAAGGAAUGAAAUCCUGCAGGCACCUACCCAUGUCGCUAAUUCUAUAUCUUGGGAACUGGAAGAUUUUUUUAUGGAGUGAAACAGAUGUAAAUGUAGAUUGUACUGCGAGAAUACACAUGCAUUGUUGCAUAUUUUAUACUACGAGACUAUUGACCACAGUAGCUGCCCAAAAGACAUUCUUUCCGUAUGAUAUGUCCCUUGACCUGUGGAAAGCGAUCUGCGGUUGAUAUUUGAGGAAAGGUGGAUUGCGAUAUCCGGUUUGUCGUGUUGCCGAACAAUUCCAUUCUAGCUCUGAUAGUUUUAUUUAGGUGUCGUCUAUGGGCAUUCUGCAGUAUAGAAUACAAUUAGGUACAAUACAAUAUUAUGACCAGAAUCAUGAUAAGGGCUGUCCAUAUACCACGUAGACAGAUAUAGAGAGACAUGAGGUAAGCAAAAUAAUGUAAACGGUUCAUAUAAAUUUUCCAAAAUUUAUAUGGGUAUUUUUUUCACGGAGGUGUAGGGAGGUUGUCGAAAUCCUUCGAAAAGAUACCAAGGUGUAUGGACAGCCCCAAAAAUGGAGGUUAAGUGCAUUAAUUGAUGGCCAAGCUCUUGUAUUCCUUUAAAAGUAUUAAAUACAUCCUAUUACAUACUUUAAUACAUUUCAUAUUAGAGUAAAUGAUGUAUUUUGACCAAUCUGCAUGUGUUUAAAAAAAUAAAAAAGAAUCUGUUCGUUAUCCAUAAAUUAAACUUUCGGUUUUACAGGAAUGGCAAAAAUGAAAUGAAUGAACAAGAGUUGGAUUAUACUAUACUAUUUAUUGUUUUCUGGAACAU